UACAGAGGUCCCAAGCGUUGUUCGGAUUCAUUGGGCGUAAAGGGUGCGUAGGCGGCGCGGGAAGUCGGGUGUGAAAUCUCGGAGCUUAACUCCGAAACUGCAUUCGAUACUGCCGUGCUUGAGGACUGGAGAGGAGACUGGAAUUUACGGUGUAGCGGUGAAAUUCGUAGAUAUUCGCAAGAACACCAGUGGCGAAGGCGGCUCACUGGCCCGGUACUGACGCUGAGGUGCGAAAGCGUGGGGAGCAAACAGG
rnacentral:rRNA from 1 species